GCCGGGUGCGGUGGCUCAAGCCUGUAAUCCCAGCACUUUGGGAGGCCGAGACGGGCGGAUCACGAGGUCAGGAGAUCGAGCCCACCCUGGCUAACACGGUGGAACCCCGUCUCUACUAAAAAAAAUACAAAAAACUAGCCGGGCGAGGUGGCGGGCGCCUGUAGUCCCAGCUACUCCCGAGGCUGAGGNNNNNNNNNNCCUCAGCCUCGGGAGUAGCUGGGACUACAGGCGCCCGCCACCUCGCCCGGCUAGUUUUUUGUAUUUUUUUUAGUAGAGACGGGGUUUCACUGUGUUAGCCAGGAUGGUCUCGAUCUCCUGACCUCAUGAUCCGCUCGUCUCGGC
rfam:Chlorocebus sabaeus isolate 1994-021 chromosome 10, whole genome shotgun sequence.